rnacentral:rRNA from 1 species
UAAUACGUAGGUGGCAAGCGUUAUCCGGAAUUAUUGGGCGUAAAGCGCGCGCAGGUGGUUUCUUAAGUCUGAUGUGAAAGCCCACGGCUCAACCGUGGAGGGUCAUUGGAAACUGGGAGACUUGAGUGCAGAAGAGGAAAGUGGAAUUCCAUGUGUAGCGGUGAAAUGCGUAGAGAUAUGGAGGAACACCAGUGGCGAAGGCGACUUUCUGGUCUGUAACUGACACUGAGGCGCGAAAGCGUGGGGAGCAAACAGGAUU